rnacentral:rRNA from 1 species
ACAGGAGAGAGCUUGCUCUCUUGCUGACGAGUGGCGGACGGGUGAGUAAUGCUUGGGAAUCUGCCUAUAGAUGGGGGAUAACCAUUGGAAACGAUGGCUAGUACCGCGUAAUAUCGAGAGAUUAUAGAGUGCAUUUUUGUACUUGUCUAUAGAUGAGCCCAAGUGAGAUUAGCUAGUUGGUGAGGUAAUGGCUCACCAAGGCGACGAUCUCUAGCUGGUUUGAGAGAAUGACCAGCCACACUGGAACUGAGACACGGUCCAGACUUCUACGGAAGGCAGCAGUGGGGAAUAUUGGACAAUGGGGGCAACCCUGAUCCAGCCAUGCCGCGUGUAUGAAGAAGGCCUUAGGGUUGUAAAGUACUUUCGGUAAUGAGGAAGGUAAUUAUUGAAGGAUAGUUGCUUGACGUUAGUUACAGAAGAAGCACCGGCUAACUCCGUGCCAGCAGCCGCGGUAAUACGGAGGGUGCGAGCGUUAAUCGGAAUUACUGGGCGUAAAGGGCACGCAAGCGGAUUGGCAAGUUAGAUGUGAAAGCCCCGAGCUUAACUUGGGAAUUGCAUUUAAAACUACUAAUCUAGAGUUGUUUAGGGAGGGGUAGAAUUUCUCGUGUAACAGUGAA